CUUUCUUGAGUGCCACUAUUGAUAAAGCAUCAUUUCUUUUUCUUAAAAAUAGUGUGAGCCCAUUUGUGCUUGUACUAUUUUGUUCUGCUUCUGUAUCUGACUCAUGCCAUGGGCAGGGGCCUUCACCCUCCCUAGUGCUCUCCUAGACCACCAGCUUUCUGGAGAUGGUGUGGGAACUGAGAUGGAAAAUCUUGACCCCACUCCACCCUUCCCUUCCAGUUUGCCUGCCCUGCUGAAGCAUUCACUCACCUCCCUGUUUUGCCAGAAUUCGUGUGUUCUCCAGAAUUUAAGUUCCUGAGAGGGAUGGCAGGACUGAAAAGAGGUGAAAAUGUCUCUUCCCAUCUCUGAGAGUGUUCCCUGACCCGACUCUCUGACUGGGGGCGAGGUUGCCAGAGGUCAAUAUCCACUUCAGUGAGUAGAGAGAUCGAUAUCUGCUGAAGCCAAUGCCCAGGAUUGUUUCCUCUUCCUUGCCAGCACUAUAUUUUAUAGAGAACAGCCAAGAAAUAUUUCUCCUCCCUUCUAAGGAGAAGAAGGGGGAGGAAAAAAAAAGAAAGAAAAAAAUGGAGAAAAAGAAAAAAGCUUUGUCUUCAUACUUUCUUCCCCCAGGAGGGCAUUGCAUUUAGCCUCUGCUCUGCUUUUUGUUAUCCAUUUGCAUGGCACGAUGUUUGCUUUGGCCAAUAGGGCAGCGCUGGCUCCUUGACUGGGGUGGGGUUCUGCCGGUACCCAGCGGUGUGCAGAAUGGGGACAUUCAGCCCUCAGCCCUAGGUAUUUUGGGGAUGCUGGGAUGCAGAGGACAUCCCAGAUGGUGCGGUUUCAUGGGGAGCGCCAUGGUGGUGGGAGCAAAGUGCUCAGUGCUGAGCCUGAGCACUCCAUGGAGCCACUCCAUGGAGCAACAUCGUGUUGGCAGGAGGAUGAGGUGUAUGAGCUAAUAGGGCUUUUCCAUUUUAAUGUCUAUUCAAAAAUGACUCUUGGUUGCUGUUCUCAAACUCGGCACCAACCGUUCCUUACACCACACAUCAGAUCUUUCUUUCUUUUCUGCCCUUUGCUUCAUGGAGAAGGCUUUAAAGCAAACAAACACCAAACUAUGAGAAACCAAGGGAAGAUGCAGACUGGCCCACUCGUUAGUGCCGGAGUGUGGAAACUAUGAAGACUUCUUUUUUUAUUACCAAUGCUGGAAAGCACAGUCACCGAGUGGGCUGGAAUACAAGUUAUGCUACACGCAGUAGUUAAAAAAACCUGCAAAAAUGGGUGUAACCCGUGGCUGUGGUACAACUGGCCUUUCAGCCCCCACUUGAGAUUCGUCCAUCCCAGGGGGAAACUGUGGUUUGGAAGAACAGUGUACAUUUAAUUUCACUCGGAGAACUUAUUGGAGUUGGCACUUCAAGAAAGACUCUGAAGUAUAUUUUUUGUCAUGAUGAGUGGCCCCCUCACCACUGCAUUUGAUUGUGUUGGAAGCAGAAAAGUUAAAUUCUUAUAAAAUGAUGAUUUACAAUCCCUGAUGAUCCAGGUAGGGCGCGCGGAUUGCGCCAGCGUGGUUAUGGGACUCCAAUCUCAUCCUCUCUCAUUGCUGUGAGAAAAUAAAACCGAAAUGUAAAAAAGCUGAAAACACAUCCUCUGAUGGCUCGGGGAAUUUUCUUACUCAUACGUUAUCUUUCCUAGUAGUUUAAGUUAUUUUGUCUCCACUAAAACCCAAAGCAAAACACUGCCCUGACACUUUCCCCUUGAUUUCUGAUCUGCGGCAGCCAAAUUUAUUUUUAUCUCGUGUCGUCUUUUCCCCCAUGGUUAUGCAAAUCCUCGGAAUAAGGGGCAAGGGGAAAAGCUAAUUUUAAAGCCAGUAAAUUCCAGUGGGAGAUUUCUUCAGUCGCUCCAAGCGGGACUAUCCUGGGUGCUGUUGCAGAGCUGUGGCUACCUCCAAAUAACACAGGGGUAGGUGCCAAGUGGGGAGGCUGAAUAUUUUCCUUGUAGACACAUAGCUUUGCCCACAGGACUGAAGUCUCUUGCCUUAAUGCUGCAUUAAGCUUCUCUGGAAGUACAAAGCUGACUUAGGAGGCAUGUGUUGAUGAAAUGUACCUCAUUGCAAUCGGCUGCUGAGUAGAACCUCUACAUGGAGGAGUUUGGCAAUGGGUGAAGGUGGGGCUCAUCAGAACUAUCUUCAGGAAAGUGUGGGGCAUUGGCACCUCAUUGCUUAUUCCAGCAAACUUUCUCUGUUUUGGCUAUCACGUUCUAUAUUUUGAUAUACUUUUAGUCUUUCUUUCUCACUCUCUUUUUUUUCCCCUCCUGAACAGCGGAUGUAUUUUUAAAUAAUAAAUUCCAUUUUCUUCUUCAUUUCUCUAUCUUUUUCCCCUUAAUGCAAGCUUUACUCAAAUCUGUUUAAAUCCACAUUUAAAUCUAAUGUACAGUAAGAGAUACUCCACGAUUUUCCAGGCUGAAAAAUCCAGGAGUGUUCACACUGGGAUCUGCUUUGUGAGCAAACUCAAGUGUGUAUGCAAGUGUUGGAGCUGUAGUCUGUAGUUCAGUUUUACUGAAAGUACUGGAGGCAAUCAGAGUAUAUGGCAAGCAUAACGGCUUCUAAACAGCACUGUGCUCUUGUUCACAGUGCUGGUGCUGGGUUAGUUGAUGCAAUUCAUGGUCAAUGUCUGGAAUCACAAUCAGAUCCUCUUUGCUCCCCCUUUGAGUGCCGUUGCAAUACUGCAGCAAAUUAACCAGAGACUGCUGUGGGGCUGAAGUUUCUGUAUCCAGCAAAACUCAUGAGCCCCUCCUGGUGUGAUGUGUCAAGGGGAUGUAAGCAUAUCUGUAAAUGCUGUGUGGUUUGGGAAGUGUUUAAAUACUCAUGGAGGCCUUUCUCUGUUCUGGGGAAGGGAAGAUGAGGAUGUGAAUACUGAUGGAAAUAAUUUAGGUGCAAGGUCCCAGGUUUGGAAAAUUUGGCCCAUAAAAUGCAUGCGCUAGGGGUGCUUGUGGUUGCAUAAGAUAACAAAAUGCACAAGUCAUGUGGAUUAAUCUCUCGAGUUACUGCAGGGGCAUAUUGUGUUCAUGUUCGUGUAGCCUGAUUAAGCUGCGUAUGAAUUUACAUCCCAGCCUUGCAGCCUAAUAAACCUAUAUGGUUUAAAAUGCACGGCGGGGGCUUUGUGCGUAAAUUCUGCUCUCACGAAGCAUGGUGUGCACGUCUGACUCUUCUUAGAAAGAGCCGAGCGCGUCCCAUUCCGUCUGCAAAUGGGUGUCUGAAUGCCAAAAUAAGUAGGAUAAAUAAUUUGCUUGAAAUAUGUGUUUGGGAGCUUUCAACCUAGAUGCUCUCUUCCAAACGCUCAGCUCUUCAUUUGCAAAUUCUCCGGUUUGUUCAAACUUUUGGACUCCAUUUGAUCUGGCUGGAAAUGAGAGCACAUCAGGCCUCGUACGUAAUCAGAAAAUGUCGUGUGAAAAACGAAGACUGCUGGGAGUAGCAUCUUUGUGGGAUUCCAGCUAAACCAAACUCGUUCGGUGCUGCUCCAGCCCUGAGCAAACCGGCCUCAUGUCUGCAUGUGCAGCCUGGGUUACUCCUGAGAGCGGCUCCGGGAAAGAGUUAAGCCUGUUCUCCUCUCCUAGUUGGCAGAAAGUUUGCAGUUUAAAAUUACAUACUGACUCUGGUGUAGAGACACAAGAAAUUAUAGAGCAGACACUGUCCAGGACAACGUAUAAUUUAAAAUGUACUAAAGAAUGUAUACCACAUGGCAAAGUAAGUGAAGUGCUUCUUCAAAUAUAAGUGUUUUGCAUAGAAAGGCUGUAAUUAUCCACUCCUAGGGAAAUGUUUGCAUUCAUUCUAAAUCAAUAUUUACUAUUCAUCUCUUGUGUUCAACAAAACAAGGAUUUAACAUUUUUUUGUUUUAAUGAGGUACUAAAACUACAAUAAUGCUACAGUGUAAUUGUCUUGAUACAAAAUAUUGCUAAAUUGUGUUGCUAUUUCGGGAGCGAGCAGUUUUUAAAAGGAGGGGGUAUCCCUGUUUGUGCCAUGUUCCUGCAGUAACACAAUCCAAGCUCAGCCAAGCAGGGCGGCUCACCACUUCCAAAGCGGAGUUAAGCCGCCUCUCUGUUAAGGCCCUUAACUGGGAUCAUUCGGGUGAGUCCUCUGUCUCCCCCCGAAAACAUCAACCUCUUUAUAAUGAUUCCUUUUCAGCUGGCGUCUCGACAACAAGCAGAAGAAUGCCAUUUCUGUUUCGGGUUUAAGGUUGUUUUCUCCCCUCAGCAUCCUUCAGAGAGGCAGCAAGAGCUGAGCGGGUGGUAAUUGGGCUGCAGCCAUCCCUGCACGCUGCUCCGAACCUGUUGGUGCAAAUGGGGUUGCCUGAACUUCACCUUCCAGGAAGAAUUUGGGGAUGUUCUGUAGAACGGUGCCAGAGCUCUGUCCUUUAUCUUUUUUUUUUUUUUUUUUUUAAUGCAUUUUUAUGCAUUUCCUGGGCACUGCACAGUGUUGAAGCGGCCCUAAAAUCAUACAGGGGCAAGCAGUCCUCUGCAGGUGAGAGUAUGCUGGUGAAGUAAGAGCACGUGAAGAGGGGCAGAGCUUUUGGAGGAGCACCACUUUUAAUCACAGCCUUGCAUCUCUGCUGUGCUGUGAUUAAGAGGAUGCCCUUGCACCAAGCUCUUUCUCCUUGAAUUUACCUGACAUGUCUUAAGAGAGGUAUCUCUCCAACUACUCUAACUUCAAAAAAGAGAAACCACACCCCAUGAGCAUGUACUUCUGGCAUUGAUGUGGCUCCACGUGAAUCAAAUCAUAUAACUGGAAAGACUUUGUUUGGAAAAGCCUUUAAAAUCCUUUAAAAAAAACAAAAAAACCAAAAACAUGACUUUUUAUGCUUACGCUCUACCCACCAGGCUCUGCCCUCCUUUUCCCAACACUAAAUGCUUCCACUUCUGCUGCUAGAAAUCAUGGUACAAAUGUGAGCUCUUGAGUGAAUUUCAUUCUUCUGUUCAAGAAGAUAGCUUCGUUUUCUUUGUUUCUUACAAAAGAAAAAAAAAAUCUGAAGUCAUUCUUCCAAAAAAAAUCGUGCACAUAAAUAGGGUGAAUAGCCCUGAGAGAAGAGUGCUCUCUUUCUCUAGCAAACGUUAUUGAAGCUGGUGUUUUAAUUCUCCAGAUAUCUCUUGGUGUUCAGGGUAACAAAAGGCUGUGUAGUGCCUAAUCAUUCAGCAGCGAUCCAGGAAAAAGCAGAAGGUUAAGAGCAAGUUCCUAAAGUCUGUAAAAUCAAUGGGACGCUGGAAAGGGAACUGAAGUGUACCAGAAGGGACCUCUUGAGGGUCAUUAAAAAAAGCAGAAACUGAUUAUGAACAGAGCUUUUACCCAAAGAACUGGAGGGGGCCAGCAAAACCAUUCUGCUGCACUCCAGUUAAAUGUCUAAUAGUGGUGACAUUUUCUACACAGCCCAUAAAGGAUAAUGAAGAUGGCUUUGAUAGCUUUCAAGAUAGUUGUUCUUGUCAGUGUUCACAAAAACAUGACAUGAGCAUGCACUAAGAGCAUGCGGGUUGAGGUGAUUGCACCAAGACUGUGAAAGGGAAGAUGGCAACCCAAUAUUGGGUCUUCCACCUUUGUAUUACGCCCUAUUACACAAGAGGAAAAAAUUGUGUCAGCCUAAAAAUGCAAUGGAAGUGGCAACAGUGACAAAGCUCAGUGUUGUGCUUAACCAACAUCGUACCUCACCUUGGUGUGGUGGUUAUGUGCAGAGAGGUAGCGAUGUUGGGCGAUCUCACAAACAUCAGCCUAGAUUCUCUCUCGCUCCAAAGCAGAUGAGAAAUAAGAUUUUGAUCUAAAGCUUAUCAAAAUCCCUCAUCGUCAGCAAAGUUUGGAUCAGCACCUCAUAACUUUCUGCUCAUUUUCUGUGCUGGGAAAAAGCAACCUGCAGGAAGUCUGUCCCAUGGCAUGUUUGUGCUAUUCCUGUUUCUGACCCCAAUCUUCUGUGAGAUUUUGGUGAAUUGCAGUUUUACUAUGAUGUACGGGAACAGUUAAAUCAUGGCCUGAACCUCUGAUUGAUCAUCUGAGGCAAGCACCAAGUCAGCUGCAGGGGCACAGGUGAACGCAAUUUCACCUGAGUGACUGGAAGGGGUGGAGCCUGGCUGCACCCCUCCUAGACCCCAUUUAAGGGCUGACUCCCAAGGAGGAUGGAUAUCUAUCUGGAGAUCCUUCCUCUUGGAGCCCUUCUAUGAGCCCAGGAUGCGGGUAAGAUCUUUAUUUCAUUUCUGCUUUGUAAUGCGAUAAUCUCUCUGGUCCAAUAUCUGUAUACCUGUUUGCCAUAUGCUAUGAUUUAUUUUCCAAAAAAGAAAAAGAAAAAAAAAAAAAAAAGGAAAAUUAGGGUAAACUCGCAUAUCUUACUGGAAUGCUCUAAAAAAAUAUUUGUUAGAAAAUAUUUGAAAUAUCAGUGGGAUGAUGCUUUAGUUCGGGGUGAUAUUGUUCAUCUUAAAAAAUAAGUAGCUAGUUCAUCUUCGGUUUUGGUCUACAGUGAAGAUGUGUUGGAAAAAAUAACAGAAACUUAGAGUAAAAAUCAACUUUGAGUUCUUUGUACUUCAGAGGAAGCAAACUUUUUUUAUAGAAAUAGAUAUUCACAGGGAUGAAUUGCAUGUGAGUCUGUUUACUAGUGGAAAAGCUGAAUUGUGAAACUUCUGUGUCACUGCUCUGUGAUUCCAACUAUCUUCAAUUAAGAGAAAAAAAAUGCAGGAAAAUCAGGUGGAAGGAAUGCAUGGAAAUUGAAGUCAAAGAAAAUAUUUGUUGUGGCCUUGGUAAAGUGAAUUUUCUAAGCUGAAGUAGCUUUUAAGCAAUUAACAUCUGCUGAGUGAAAUUACCGAGUGACAUGCAGCCCCAGAUGGAGGACUUGAACAGCCAGUGACCAUCUGGAUUUUGGUCUUUGCACAGAGCACGCUCUGUUCUGGCUCUCACCUGGCCUGUGGACAGCCCUCUAUCUGCCUCUCCUGCCACCGUCAGCCUUGAGUCAUGGUGGGGAGACCUGCAGGGAUGGUUCCUCUGCUCACAUCAACUCCAAAGAUACUCGAAUUCCCCAGAGAUAUAAUCACUGAUGACUUUGACCUUUGAGUUGUUGCCUUGACCCAGUUUUCCAAAAGGAGAAAAACUUACUGGGAUAAAAUCCACCUUUGAGCCAUAAGGGUCUUGAUACACAAUGGUUUCCAAUGAAACAUAUGGCGUGGGAGUCUUGGCAUCUGAAAUGCCAAGAAAAUCAGAUCUUAAAGAGAGAAUUUUGUCAGCAGGCUUUCAUAUUAAAAAAAAAAAAUAUAUAUAUAUAUAAAAUAUAUAUAUUAAUACAAUUACCUUCCUUAGAAGGUGUAAAAGAUGUCAGGCCCAACCACAGGGACAAUUCACUGACAAAAUUCAGUUUUUAAAGUGAAACUAUAGUUUUUUUUAAAUUCAAUGAAUAAAAAUCAUCUGACAAAGAGUUUUUGACUACUCUGUAUCUAAAAAUGAGCCAGCUUCAUUUAGUCUAUUUAAAAAUUGUGUAUUCAUACUGCUUGUAUGCCAAGUUCAGCAUGAUGGAAAUGAAAAUGAUUGAGGUAUAAACCCUUGGAAAACAGGGUUUAUAAUGGAAACAGUAAUUGACUUCUAACUACCGCAUCAAAAAUACAAUACUAUAAUACAAAGCCUAGCUCUUGGGAUCUCAGCUCCCUUCUAACCUCAGGUUGGCAGAAGAACACCUCACCACAAAGCUAACUAAUGUUUAUAGCUUGUUUUUUUUCUCUUGCAAAAGGAACAUGGCAAGUGAAGAAAAUUUAUAGGAACAAAGCAAAGUUGGCCAACAGUUCAAAUGUUCUCUCUUGUUAGCAACAACAUUCUUCUUCCCUGGAUGAAUGCUGUAUUUUGGCUGAUAACUUUAAUCAUGAAACUUGAGUCAGAACUGAGCCUUACUCUCAGCGUUAGAAAUAGUUCAACUGUUCCUCCGAAGUUCACGCACUUGGUUAUCCUAAAAGGAGAAGAUUAAAAAAAUAAAAUCAACAGCUGUAAAAAUUUCCCCUUUCCCUGUAUGGCCAUGAAUAGCACAACAGGAAGGAGAGGAGAGAUGGCUGUGGUAAUGGAACAAAGUAGAUUUAUUGAUCUCAUUAAUGAUGCUUACCCAAGAUAGUCAUCUUUGCUUAGACUGAGCUUAGGUGCCAUUUUUGCUGCUAAUUAUGAUUGUGAAGACAUCAUGACAUCUUGGAUUAGAGUGAAAGUAGUGGUACUAAUUCUCAUUAGGAGCUGAAAACCAUGGAGGACCAGGAAUUUCAACAGGGGAACCAGCACUCAGCUAUGGCUGAAUAAGAUAGACCCUUCUAUGGAUGUGUGAAAUAAAAAUGAGUACUCUAGGAUCAGUAUGCAUUUAAUAGAAGAAGAAAGAAAGACAAAUUCUACUGAGAUCUUUGUGCCUGCAGUACUUCAACAAUUCUUGCUACUUUAUGUAUUAUUAUUUUAUUAAGUUCAUAUUUUCACAGGUAAUGAAGAAAAACAGAGAAUGCAGGAGCACUUUGUGUCCAUAAAUGACUUUAGUUCAGCUACAGAUGAAGAAAAAAAGUAAUUCUAUUUUCUUUAGGUAUUGUUGAAGGUAUACCGCUAUAAUCUCAGAUUUUUUUUAUGUACCUGCACCUUCGCUUCUGCCAGAAUUACUUGCUGCAUUCAUCUAGCUGCAGAGAGACUCUGCUGAAGGAAAGAUUGCACGCAAGGACCUCAAUUCAAUGCCAGGUGGGAGGAAUGUUGUUGGGAGAGUUGUGGGUUAACAUCAGCAUCUGUUGUAGGCCUUCAAUUCCUUUUUAGAUUCCUUUAUAUCUGUGAGCUGUUCAAAUCCAGGCUCUUCCAGAUCCAGCUCCUGCCACUAUCUAUAACCUUAUAAAAGAAGUGGGUAUGCCAAAACAAGAUGAAGACAUCAUAAUUUUUUUAUUCUUUCUUCCUAUGACUUCAGAGUGUAUGGAAAAGUCUUGCAGUGCAUGACUCAAUGGGCAAUAGUUGUGAUAUACUUGCAGUGGUUGCAACCAUACCAACUGCCUAUCCAGUCUGGGCAGCUCAAAAGUCUGCUGGCGAUCACAGUUAGUUGCACACAUGUGAAUUCAAGACUUAUUUUUAGUCAGAUUUCACAGUAAAGUUCCUCUGGGCACUUCUGUGGUAUUGAACACAUUUCAUUGCAAACGAUACUAUUGAUGUUAGUGCAGAGAAGAUCUGGGACUGAACACAAAGGUUUAUUCUUAAACCUCUUUUUCCUGGAGCAAAGAAAAGUUACCUUUACUGGCAUCCAUGCCUGUACUGAAAUACAACUCCAUUUGAAAAUGAUUGGGAAAUUGCCAGUGCAAAUACCAAAUAAAGACUCCAAGAAUUGGCCCUUUACGAUGAGUGAUUUAUGAUUUAUACUUUGAACAGUACAAGCUAUGCAUUUCUAUUCAGAUUUUGAAAAACAAGCCAGGAAAAAGCAACAAUAGCUUAGUAAAAAAUGUAUACGAUCAUGGAGUGCCAGUACAGUCUUUGGCAAAGGAUCAAGUAAUGAUAAGGCUCGACCCUAUAGGGACAUUCACGUUUUUAAAGCAAUCUAUGUGAAAUAAAUCUGAGAAUGUAUGUUUAAAUUAUAAAAAAAAAUACAGCAUGAAUAUGUAUUUUGUAGCUAACAGCUCCCUGUUGUUUUGGGCACUUUUCCUGCUUUAGUACAGUUUUUGAGGAGGAAAAACCUGACUGGAGCACAAGGUACUUUUCAAGUCCUAUUUUAGGUCGUUUGCAAUCAUAGAUUUCCCUAUUUUUCUUAUCAUUUUUCUGUGAUUUGCUUUUUUAAGGGUAUUAUCUGGCUCAGCUUGGCACAGUUCAAGUGCACAACUGCAACCUUUUCCAUGACCCAAAAGUCAAUGCCACUCCGUGGGCUGGCAGUUUGCAAAUAAAACGUAUCCUUAAUGAAGUGUGGAAGCUCCUGUUCUUUUCCUUCCUCAGGAGACGUGCCUUAAUCUCUGGCUCACAGCCUUGUCAAAUGCUGCAGUAAAGAACUGGCAAGCUCAGUGCUGCUAAUGGAUUGAAAUCUCCACCAGGUUGUUCUUUUUUAAUCUUUUUUCCUCUUUUCUUUUUUUCUUUUUUUUUUUUUUUUCAUUCCUAAAUACAGCAGCAACCACAGUAACGCUCCAGUCCUCAGUCUUUUGUAAUUAUUGGUUAGGGACUCUGGACUGAAGAACAUGUAAGGGAAACGUAUACUACACCACUGAAAAGUGUCAAGGAUUUGGUUGCUUAUGUAGGUCAAUCAUUAAGGGAAAGAAAUAAGAUUAAAACCAGAGGCUGUUCUGCGUAUUUGAAGUUCCUCCUGAAGAUAUAAAACUGUGGUGUUUAUGCUUAUAACUUGUGACAGGUUGGCUAAGUCAUAGGCGUUUUGUCUCUCCUAUUGUAGGAGCUGAGAAUGUUUGGCUUUAUUUAUUUAUUUACUGUCUUUUUGCCAGAAGGUAACUGUAAGCUUGUGAAUCACAUCCGAAUUGCUUGAAAAUGAGGAAGUACAAUGCUGGGAAUUUUGACAGACUCUCAUGUUUGGUCUUUUUGUUAUUGUUGUUAGAUUAAUAUAGGGCUUGGGGUAGCUCUCCCUAAUUCUGGCACAAACUGAAAAGCUAUGUGUGUUUCAGAACUUAUGCUUUUUUUUCUUAUUACAGAGAUAUGCUGUGCAACCUCAGCUUGCCUUUUCUAUGAGCAGCUGAAAGACGUCGCUAAGCAGAAUUUACCCAUUUGCAAUGGCAUUUUGAGCCCAAGCGGGCCUUGGGCAGGGUGCAAAGAGGUAUGCACCAUUACAGUGUGGUUCACAGUAACUUGUAUUGCAACCUGAUGUUUUUCAGAAUUUGUGAAUCUUUACAGUAAUUUGUAUUGCAACCCAAAAUCUGUGAAUUUUAAGCUCAGGGGAAAAAAAGAAAAAAGAGAGGUGGGAAAGCAAUUAUACACUCGUUCAUGCUAGGGGCAGGAAUUUGUAGUGUUACUUUGAUCGCUGUUAACCUGGUUCUGUCAAUACUGAUAACUCCAUGAUGUCCUGGGAAGAGGAAAAUCCAAUCCAUGCACUGAUGGGUACUGAAAGAAAUUCAGCACUGAAAUGUUAUCAAGUGGUGAAUGUUGCAGGUAGCAUUGUUUAUUCCAUGUCAUUGUGCUGUGGAGUUGCUGGUAGGAUGAUGCUCAUUUGAGAGACAGAGGCUUCUUGAGAGAAGAUUUGUUGCCUUCAUGGCAGGAUGGAUGGUGGGAAAUGAAAAAAGGACGUUUUGUUCUGCUACCUUUGCUUAGAUCUAUGCUCUAGCACACUGCCAGUGGGGAACUUGGUGCCAUUUAUCCACUGAGUAGAUGGGUAUUUUUAGAUGGAACUGUAGCAGCUAGGUUCUUCCAGCAAGGAAUUUACUUGUCCUUAUGGUGGUUUUAUGUGUAUUCCACAAGCACCUGUAAAAUAGUCUCUUUAUAUAGUAGAUGUUGUACUCAAAAGCUCUGUGCCUACAAAGGCAGGAUCCUCACCUGCAGUAAGUCAGGCAAUGCUGGCUGAGAAUCUGGCUGAGUGCAUUGCAAGUAUUUAUUUUGUAAGUGAAACCCAUGAUUUUCCCAGAUCAGAAUGGUUGUAUGCUGCAUUUAAAGUAGUGUUCUCCAUAGAGCUCCUGCCUACCUGUGGGGACUACUGAAAUACUGGCAAAUAUAAUCUUGAAAUAUUUCCGUCAUCAAAGAUGGUCUGAACUGCUGUGGAAGACCACAGAGACUUUCUGCCCCUUAAAAUGUUAUGGGAAGGAAGGUGUGUGAACCCAGUGCAUCCGCACAAUAGUGCUGGUAGAUGGCCUACAACCAGCAUGUCAUCUCUGCAGCUUCCCAGCUUGCGGUUUCCUUAAUAUAGAUAGAUAGAUAGAUAAAAAAUACUUCUGAGCUGCCUACUGAAAGCAGCAUUUUGCAGUGUAUGAGGGCAGUAGUAAGAUUUAGGUUGGGGAAGCAGGAUGUACAAGUUGAUGAAGUUGGGAUGUGUCUUGUUUGUUCCAUGAUUUUAUUUAUUUAUUUAUUUACUUAUUGAGGAAAAAAGGAGAAAAAACAUUUUUCUAAAGACUGAAUUUUUUAUCAAAAUGUGCAUUCCUUGAAUGAUUUUAAAGGAUAGCAAAAGACGCUUGAGUUCUUGGGAAUAAAUGGAAAUAUGUUGAAGAGCUCAAAGGUGCAGACAGGAAGAGUGGGAGUUCAUGUGGGAAGAGAAGUUCAAUCUGGUAUGUUCAAGUUUUGCAUGGAAGGACUAAAUAAAUGCAAUCUAGCAUGAAGUGAGAGGAAAGGACUUAAGGAGCUGCUGGUUUGGGGCUGUAAUGCUCUGCUGCUGGAUACUAGAUGAAUGAAUUUGGACUUUCAAAUGCUAUGUCUGCAUGUUAUAUCAGUGAAGGGUAUCAUGGAGUAGUUUUUCUCUCCUCUACCUGCACAGAGCCUGAUUAGUGGUGAAGGCCUGCAGCGACCAAGAAAGGUAUUAAUGUAAGGCCUCCAGCUGUAAAUCAAUAUCUGAAAUAAAUGAUUUUAAGCGUUCAUUAUGGAAACUUCAUUCUGAGAAUAAUUAUAAGUCUAAAAGUGAAAGUGAGAUUUAAGUCCUGUGUUGAUCUGCAGAGAUUUGGCAAGCAACGUACAUACUUAAUCAGUCACACUGUAGCUUCUAUGCUUGCAGCUUGUUUGUUCAGAGAAAUACAGCAUAUUCAUUCAUCAUGUUUAUUCAAGUUAGGGCAUCUGAGGAGUAAUGACAACCUUAUUUUGCAUAGUUCUCUGCAGUGCUUUAAAGAAAGUACCUGCCAGUGUGAAAAUCAGUAAAUGUGAUCAUGGCUUGCUUGACAAGAGCUCAGCAGCUCAAUUUUCUGCUGUGUAAAACACCAGAGCCUGACAGAGCAGGACAUACUCCUGUGAUCACCUUGUUCACAGCAAGUAGCAUUUCUAACUUUGAAUUCCUUCUUUGUGAGGAAGACUUUUUGAUAAAUUUCUAUUAUGUUUAUCUAAAGAGCAGCAUUCACUUACGAUGCUGCAAAUUUGGGCUGUAUCAGAGCAGCAUUAGAAAUCACUAUGCUAUUUACUAAACUAUUUUAGAUGUUAUUUUCUUUCUUAAGAAAAAAGCAAUGCCUUAUUAUCGUCUCAGCUUUUGCAGGGAAAUAGAUUUGCUUGAUGACUUUGAGCUCCAUACGUCUAUUUUCCUUACCAAAAGGUCAGUGAUGUUAACUAUAGCAUGCAGCUACUGACUGAGCAUACAUACACUGAGUGUGGCAAUAGUUAUUGUUUUUCUCUGUUCAUGUAUAGUUUCCAUUUCUUCUGCACCACCUCCUUCCCAGAAUUGGGGAAAAAAAAAAAGUAGAAAUAACGAGAACAGCCUUGCUCUUUUUCUCCCUUCCAAGUAGGUAGGAGAAAAUUGCUUGAUUAGAUUAUAGGGUCUGUAUAUGUGUGUAAAGAAUUUAUUGUGGGAAAUCUAUAUUAGUGCCAAAGCGAUUAAUGCUAAUUAAUGUUCCCAAGUUUAAUAACAAAAGAAUUAAUAGUGAACAGCCACUUACUAUAAAGUGUUUCCUUGACAUUUCUUACUAAAAAUAAAAAUUCAGAGCAUGCUGCAUAGAUUUGAGAGAAGAAGAAAAAGGAAGAUUAGGUAAAGAAAACAUCUCACUGUAAUUUAAACCAUUAUUUGUCUGACAGCUUUUUAUCUCCUGUCUGGAAGAAAUAAACAUAUUAAAUUUUUUAUUAAAAUAGUUAGACUUUGUAAGAGUAUUUUUCCCAGUUCAGUAAUAAAUAUUUAUUUCUGCCAGAAACAAAGAAGUUUGUCUGCGAGGCUUUUACUGAAUCUUAGCCAAAGGUACGAGUCUUUUAACGAAGAAAUACAGCUUCUACAGACUUGCUUUCUCUUCUUCAGUAUAAAUUUUGAUGUAUAAAUAACGUUCCUACGGAGACCUGGUCAUCUGCUGGUAUUGAUCACCUGCCUCCCUGUCCUCCAAGGUCUGAUUCAGUCAUAGCCUGAAACAAAUGUCAGCACCUUUACUGGAAAAUGUAGUAAACAGUGGAUUAGACAAACGAGAGGGCUGGAAAUGGGUCUGCUUCAAGUCUUACCGCAUACCUUGUGGAGUGAUGUCUGGAGAUGGUGGAGUUGUGUAUCCUCCGUUGAGACUGCCUUCAUGGCACAUUUGUUUCAAGGCAUGCAAUUGAGACGCUCGGAUACCGAUGUUCAGAGCCCUCUUCUCCUUGCUUACCUAAAUUUAGUUAAAGAGCCCUUGAGAUAAGCUGCAGCCACAGGUGAAAUCUCUCAUUUCUUUGGCUACUUAUAGAUUACCAUGAUCUGCUUUGGUUUGGAACAGCAGCUACCCAAAGGUGAUGCUGUGGGAAUGCU
rnacentral:lncRNA from 1 species